rnacentral:rRNA from 1 species
AUUGAACGCUGGCGGCAGGCUUAACACAUGCAAGUCGAGCGGGGGAAGGUAGCUUGCUACUGGACCUAGCGGCGGACGGGUGAGUAAUGCUUAGGAAUCUGCCUAUUAGUGGGGGACAACGUCUCGAAAGGGAUGCUAAUACCGCAUACGUCCUACGGGAGAAAGCAGGGGAUCUUCGGACCUUGCGCUAAUAGAUGCGCCUAAGUCGGAUUAGCUAGUUGGUGGGGUAAAGGCCUACCAAGGCGACGAUCUGUAGCGGGUCUGAGAGGAUGAUCCGCCACACUGGGACUGAGACACGGCCCAGACUCCUACGGGAGGCAGCAGUGGGGAAUAUUGGACAAUGGGGGGAACCCUGAUCCAGCCAUGCCGCGUGUGUGAAGAAGGCCUUAUGGUUGUAAAGCACUUUAAGCGAGGAGGAGGCUACUUUAGUUAAUACCUAGAGAUAGUGGACGUUACUCGCAGAAUAAGCACCGGCUAACUCUGUGCCAGCCGCCGCGGUAA